GAUGAACGCUAGCGGCAGGCCUAAUACAUGCAAGUCGAACGGUGUCUUCGGACAUAGUGGCGCACGGGUGCGUAACACGUAUGCAACCUACCUUACAUUGGGGGAUAGCCUUUCGAAAGGGAGAUUAAUACCGCAUAAGACAGUAGCUGGGCAUCCAGCAGCUGUUAAAGAUUUAUCGAUGUAAGCUGGGCAUGCGUCCAAUUAGCUAGGUGGUGAGGUAACGGCUCACCAAGGCAAUGAUUGGUAGGGGAACUGAGAGGUCAAUCCCCCACACUGGCACUGAGAUACGGGCCAGACUCCUACGGGAGGCAGCAGUGGGGAAUAUUGGGCAAUGGACGCAAGUCUGACCCAGCCAUGCCGCGUGCAGGAUGAAGGCGUUAUGCGUUGUAAACUGCUUUUAUACAGGAAGAAACGACUCUUGCGAGAGGCAUUGACGGUACUGUAUGAAUAAGCACCGGCUAACUCCGUGCCAGCCGCCGCAGUAAAAC
rnacentral:rRNA from 1 species